rnacentral:rRNA from 1 species
CAGUAGCCGCGGGAAUAUGUAGGGUGCAAGCGUUAAUCGGAAUUACUGGGCGUAAAGCGUUCGCAGGCGGUUAUAUAAGACAGAUGUGAAAUCCCCGGGCUCAACCUGGGAACUGCAUUUGUGACUGUAUAGCUAGAGUACGGCAGAGGGGGAUGGAAUUCCGCGUGUAGCAGUGAAAUGCGUAGAUAUGCGGAGGAACACCGAUGGCGAAGGCAAUCCCCUGGGCCUGUACUGACGCUCAUGCACGAAAGCGUGGGGAGCAAACAGGAUUAGAUACCCGAGUAGUCCCUGUCUCUUAUAC